UACGAAGGGGGGCUAGCGUUGCUCGGAAUCACUGGGCGUAAAGGGUGCGUAGGCGGGUCUUUAAGUCAGGGGUGAAAUCCUGGAGCUCAACUCCAGAACUGCCUUUGAUACUGGCGAGCUUGAGUUCGGGAGAGGUGAGUGGAACUGCGAGUGUAGAGGUGAAAUUCGUAGAUAUUCGCAAGAACACCAGUGGCGAAGGCGGCUCACUGGCCCGAUACUGACGCUGAGGCACGAAAGCGUGGGGAGCAAACAGGG
rnacentral:rRNA from 1 species